GGGUGAGCCUCCUGAAGGGAGGAGUCUACGACCUGCGUAGAAGCCGCGUGGUGCCGCCAGUGUGAGGUCGCUUGCUCGACGUAGGUAAAGAAGAUAAUCUGAAAAUGAAGAAGACAGCUUUCCAGUAAUAGGGCCAAAAUGGUGUCCUAGCUUAGAGCUCUUUUUCAAUAUACCAUACCACCUCUCUUGGACAUUUUAAGGCAGAGUGGACAGUGAGAGAGAGAGACAGAGAGAAAGGUCUUCCUUUUUCCAUUGGUUCACCCCCCAGUGGCUGCUGCUGCAGGUGUGCUGCGGCCAGCGCACCGUGCUGAUCCGAAGCCAGAAGCCAGGUGCUUCUCCUGGUCUCCCAUGUGGGUGCAGGGCCCAAGCACUUGGGCCAUCCUCCACUGCACUCCUGGGCCACAGCAGAGAGCUGGACUGGAAGAGGGACAAUGGGGACAGAAUCCGGUGCCCCAAGCGGGACUAGAACCCGGGGUGCCGGCGCCGCAGGCAGAGGACUAGCCUAUUGAGCCACGGCGCUGGCCUAUAAUAUGUUUUAACAAAUAUCUUAAGCCCCCUUUUAAAACCAUACUGCUCAGACAAAAAGAUUCCUUUCAAACUAUUACUGCCCAUUGGCAAUACUCCUGAUUAUCCAAAAGCUCUGAUGGAGAUGUGCAAAAAGGCUGUUGUUUUAUUCCAGGCCUACUCAAAUAACAUCAACUUUGCAGUCCAUGGAUCAAGUUGUAAUUUCAACUUUCAAAUCUUAUUAUUUAAGAAAUACAUUCUAUAAGGCUAUAGCUGCCAUAGUUAGUGGUUCUGAGGGAUCUGAGCAAAGUAAAUUGAAACACUUUUAGAAAGAAUUAACUGUUCUGGAUGCCAUUAAGAACAUCUGUGACCUAUGGGAGGAGGUCAAAAUAUCAGUAUUAACUGGAGUUUGGAAGAAGUUGGUUCUAACCCUCAUGGAUGACUGAGAGAUUCGGGACUUCAGUGGAAGAAGUAACUGCAGAUGUGGUGGAAACAGCAAGAGAACUGGAAGUGGAGCUUGAAGAUGUGACUGAAUUGCUGCAAUUUCAUGAUAAAACAUUAAUGCAUAAUUAGUUGCUUUUUAUGAAUGAGCAAGGGAAGUGGUUUCUUUGUUUAAAAUGAUUUAUUAAUUUAAAGAGUUAUUGAGAGGGAGAGAGAGCGAGAGAGCUCGUCUAUCCUCUGGUUCACUCCCCCAAAUGGCCACAAUAGCCAGGGCUGGACCAGGUCAAAGCCAGGAACUAGGAGCUUCAUGUGGGUCUCCCACAUAUGUGGCAGGGUCCCAAGCACUUGGGCCAUCUUCCACUGCUUUUACCAGGCCAUUAGCAGGGAGCUGGAUUGGAAGUGAAGCAGCUGGAACACGAACUGGUGCCCAUAUGGGAUGCCGAAAUCACAGACAGCAGCUUUACCCACUAUGCCCCAUCGCUGGCCCCAGAAAGUGGUUUCUUGAGCUAAAAUAUACUUCUGGUGAACAUUGUUGAAAUGACAACACAAGAUUUAGUGUAUUAGACAAGCUUAGUUUUUUUUUAAAGAUUUAUUUAUUAUUUAUUUGAAAGUCAGAGUUACACACAGAGAGAAGGAGAGGCAGAAAGAGAGAGAGAGAGAGAGAGAGAGAGAGAGAGAGAGAGUCUUCCAUCUGCUGGUUUACUCCCCAAUUGUCUGCAAUGACCAGAGCUGUGACGAUCCGAAGCCAGGAGCCAGGAGCCUCUUCCGGGUCUCCCAUGUGGAUACAGGGGCCCAAGGACUUGGGCCAUCUUCUACAACUUUCCCAGGCCAUAGCAGAGAGCUGUAUCGGAAGUGGAGCAGAAGGGACUUUAAUUGGUGCCUAUAUGCACCAAUGCAGGUGGUGGCUUUACCUGCUAUGCCACAGCACUGUCCCCAUAGAUAAGCUUACUUGAUAAAGCAGUGGUAGGUUUGAAAGGAUUGACUCCCAAUUUUGAAAAAAGUCCUGUUGUGAGUAAAAUACUGUCAAACACUGUUGCAUGCUGAAGAGAAAUAUUUAAAGAGAGGAGGAGUCGAUCUAUAAGGCAAACUUCAUUGUUGUCUGAUUUUAAGAAAUUGCCAUGAACAUGCAACCUUCAAUAACCACCACCUGACAGUCAGCAGCCAUCAAGAUUGAAGGAAAGCCCUCCAUUGGCAAAAAGAUUACAAGUUGCUGAAGGCUUAGAUGAUCAUUAGCAUUUUUAGCAAUAAAAUGUUUUAAAGUUAAGGUAUAUACAUUAUUGUUUUAGAUAUAAUGCUAUUGUAUACUUCAUAGACUACAGUACAGUGUAAACAUAACUUUUAUAUGCAGUUGGAAAUUAAAAGAAUUAGUGUGAGUGCUUUAAUACAAUAUUCAUUUUAUUGUGGUUUGGUUCCUGCAAUACUUGUAUCUCUGAGGUUUGCAUGUAUACUAAAUCUCAGGAUUAUUGGUUGGUUUUAGGAAGGCUGUCUAGCUAGGGCUGUAGAGAACUCUUAUUUGUCAAGACUAUGUCAGCUCCUUCCCUGCCACACACCAAGUUGAGAGAGGUUAUUGUGAUUAUUUUUGUCACUAGGACAACAUGGAGUAUAUAAUGGGUGGUUUUUCUAAGAAAAGGAUACUAGCAGGCAGGAACAGCAUGCUUACCAUGUUAUUAAGGGAUAAGUCUCUAUAUUCAUUGACAUGACAAGAGCUCAUGAGAUGUUAAAUGAAAACAGAUGUUACAGAAUUCUGCAUUUGGACUAAUCCCAUUCAUGUACAUAAUUUAUGUAUCUAUAUAUGUAUAGCUAUGAGUACAGAGAAUUCUGGAAGAAUAUUCCCAAGGGAUGUUGCUGAGUGUCUCUGGUUGUGAAUUAAAACAAAAAUAAAGGACUUGUGCCUUAUUUGUA